GGGGGCGACACGGCUUCGACGGGGAUAAAGACUCGCGGGAUGCAUGCCGAGCUCCAUUGACUCGUAAAUCCGAUGGGACAUCCGUUAACUGCGGAUAAUCAGUACGCUCUCGCAGCCUAAUACGCUGUGAGCGUCUGCCCUGACCUCGCCUGGUGGUCAGGGGCCAGAUGCCAUUAAGCAGGCUGGCGAUCGGGCGGCGUCUCGGCGCCCGAUCGCGAGAACUCACCGAGACUGGUGCCUGGCGGUUUUGAGCCGCUUCCUCACGCCGGGCAUGAGAAAACAGA
rnacentral:tmRNA from 1 species